UGUUGAGGAAGAUAAUGACGGUACUCAACAAGGAAGUGACGGCUAACUACGUGCCAGCAGCCGCGGUAAAACGUAGGUCACAAGCGUUGUCCGGAAUUACUGGGUGUAAAGGGAGCGCAGGCGGGAAGACAAGUUGGAAGUGAAAUCUAUGGGCUYAACCCAUAAACUGCUUUCAAAACUGUUUUUCUUGAGUAGUGCAGAGGUAGGCGGAAUUCCCGGUGUAGCGGUGGAAUGCGUAGAUAUCGGGAGGAACACCAGUGGCGAAGGCGGCCUACUGGGCACCAACUGACGCUGAGGCUCGAAAGUGUGGGUAGCAAACAGGAUUAGAUACCCUGGUAGUCCACACUGUAAACGAUGAUUACUAGGUGUUGGAGGAUUGACCCCUUCAGUGCCGCAGUUAACACAAUAAGUAAUCCACCUGGGGAGUACGACCGCAAGGUUGAAACUCAAAGGAAUUGACGGGGGCCCGCACAAGCAGUGGAGUAUGUGGUUUAAUUCGACGCAACGCGAAGAACCUUACCAAGUCUUGACAUCCCUUGACGAACAUAGAAAUAUGUUUUCUCUUCGGAGCAAGGAGACAGGUGGUGCAUGGUUGUCGUCAGCUCGUGUCGUGAGAUGUUGGGUUAAGUCCCGCAACGAGCGCAACCCUUAUGGUCAGUUACUACGCAAGAGGACUCUGGCCRGACUGC
rnacentral:rRNA from 1 species